rnacentral:rRNA from 1 species
GACGAACGCUGGCGGCGUGCCUAAUACAUGCAAGUCGAACGCACAGUUUAUACCGUAGCUUGCUACACCAUAGACUGUGAGUUGCGAACGGGUGAGUAACGCGUAGGUAACCUGCCUGGUAGCGGGGGAUAACUAUUGGAAACGAUAGCUAAUACCGCAUAAUAUUAAUUAUUGCAUGAUAAUUAAUUGAAAGGUGCAAUUGCACCACUACCAGAUGGACCUGCGUUGUAUUAGCUAGUAGGUGAGGUAACGGCUCACCUAGGCGACGAUACAUAGCCGAACUGGGAGGGUGAUCGGCCACCCUGGGACUGAGACACGGCCCAGACUCCUACGGGAGGCAGCAGGAGGGAAUCUUCGGCAAUGGACGAAAGUCUGACCGAGCAACGCCGCGGGAGUGAAGAAGGUUUUCGGAUCGUAAAGCUCUGUUGUAAGAGAAGAACGGGUGUGAGAGUGGAAAGUUCACACUGUGACGGUAUCUUACCAGAAAGGGACGGCUAACUACGUG